CUUCCUUUUUAAUUAAUGCUCAGAAAAAUUCAACAUGUUUAGCUUCUUGACUAUUUUUUUUUUUUUUUUAGAUGUUAUGCUGAGUUGUGCAAAUCUGAUUUAUUUUAUUUUACUUACAAUAAAAGAAGAAGCAUCUUCUUGCUCAUGGGCUGGGUUUGAUGGUCUUAUUGCUGUUGACAGACUUAAACAUAUUCAUCAUGAACUUUCUGUCUGUGUGGGCCAUGUUUUAGUUCCAGGUCAGACCUGGUGCAAGUCAGAGCCAUAACAGGUUUGCACCCGCCUCAACAGCACCCAGCUUUCCUAAGGAUAAGGAAAAGAGGAGUGAAAAGAAGACCUCUCCACAUGAAGAAACCCCAUACUCCUUAACCAGCGCCAAGAAUUAUUCUUGAAAGGAAAAUUAUCCCUGUUAAUUAACUGUACUGUGUGCAUUAUCCAAACCUUUUUUAUAUAUAUAUUUUCAGGCUAGAUUUUAACUUGUGAAGGCAUAUAGUGGAGACAUUGUUGUCCCCUGUUUCAUUUAACUGGGACAAAGUGAUCAAUUGAACCUCAUAAGUAAAACAUUGAAUAUUGUGGGUGAAUGCGAUUCAUCGUAUAUUGCCUUGAGAAAGGUGAAGUAAAGAUAUGAAUUGUGGAUCAUUCUAAUGAUAAACACCUGCUGUGUGUUCUGUAUUACUACGGCUCAAUAAUGUUUGACUGUUUUCUGUUAUAACUUGUAAAUUAAAAGCUUUUUUUAAAAAAA